UACCGGCGGCUCGAGUGGUGGCCACUAUUACUGGGCUUAAAGGGUCCGUAGCUUGAUAAUCAAGUCCCUUGAGAAAUCCGCCGGCUUAACUGGCGGGCGUUCAGGGGAAACUGGUUUUCUAGGGACCGGGAGAGGUGAGAGGUACUGCCGGGGUAGGAGUGAAAUCCUGUAAUCCCGGUGGGACCACCUAUAGCGAAGGCAUCUCACCAGAACGGGUCCGACAGUGAGGGACGAAAGCUGGGGGAGCAAA
rnacentral:rRNA from 1 species